CAUACCCUACCCUAAACUAGAAGCAAAUGCUGAGAAAGGGAAGAGAGAGGGAGAUGAGGGUCCAAGUUUGCUUCAACCACCUUAGAGUCUCUUUUUCCUUCUCAAAGGGAUCAACUUAGUAGUAGCUUCCUUCUUGAUAUCGACAGCCUUUGAUCUUGAAGAUUUUCGAGACAAAGCAGAAGGAGGGAGAGAGGACUCGAUCAGAAGUAUGGAGUGUUUGAAUUCUGAAUCUUAAAGAGCCAUGUCCACUGGGCCAUAAGCAAUAGCAGUAUUCAAAGAAGAGAAGAGAUCCACAAGAAUGCCUAAUGGCAUAUCCAAAGAGGGAGUGGAAUUUGUCAAAAAUGCCAUCGAAACCACUACUUUCUCAGAGUUCUCCAUAUCAAGGUGGGUGGAGCCUUGGUCAGUAAAGAAAUAAAGACUUGGCUAGUAGCCUCCUCCUUAUAAAUGCAAUAGAGAUCAUUGAUAGUAUUUAAUAGGCCAGCACCUUUCUCAGAGGGGAG
rnacentral:lncRNA from 1 species